GUCUCUGCGCCGCUCGCCCGCCCAGCGCCCGGCCGGCCCCGCCCCACCCCGCCCCGCCGCGGCCCGUCCACUGCUCCCCGCGGGCCGAAGCCGGCCAAGCGGCUGCCCGCCGGGGCUCUGAACGGCGCGGCGGGGCCGGGAGCCAGGGACCCGCCGAGGAGAGCGGCGGCCCCGGACAGCUGCCGGAGGGGCGGCCGCGCGUGGAUGCGGCGGGAGCCGGAAGCCUCGUGCAGCCGGCGCCGUCUCUGCCCCCGGGCGCCCUAUGGCUUGAAGGAUCAACAGGAGAAAUGUGUUGGCAAGCAGAAGCCAGCAUCCAGGGUCCCAGGUGGAAGAAGUCAGGCACCCUAAAAUGGAUCCAUGUUUCCAUACAUUGCCUUGAGCACUGUGUACAGCGGAAGGCCUGGAGUUGCUGUUGAUGACUCGUGGCACAAACUCUGCCCUCUGGCCAGUCAUCUCUGGGAAAGUUGGCUGCCAUGUCAUCAGGAUGUUCAAGCAGCUCUGUGGAAGGGUCUACAUGGUAAGGGACUGAAGCCUCCUGCCAACAGCCAUGUGAAUGAACCAUCUUGGAAGCCCAUCUUCCCUCCCCAGACAAGCCUUCAAGUGACCAUGGCCACUGCCAAGGUCUUAACCACGACCUUUUGAAAGACCCUGAGCCAGAACCACCUGACUGAGCUGCCUGAAUUCCUGACCCACAGGAGCUAUGAGAUAAUAAAUUUUUGUUGUUUUAAAUUGCUAGGAUUUAGAGUAAUUUACUAUACC
ensembl:lncRNA